rnacentral:tRNA from 1 species
GCGGGGGUGGCAGAGCCUGGUCAAAUGCGCAGGACUUAAGAUCCUGUCCCUUAGUGGGUACGCGUGUUCAAAUCACGUCCCCCGCA